UUUUGGUUGCAGAGCAUGAGCACCCUGUCGACAACUAAGAAAGUCUCCUACUGCAUAUGUGUACUACCAAAGAUGAUGCUUAACAUAGAGAAGAACAUGCAUCAGUAAGUGUAGAAAAGUCACAACUGAAUGUGUUAAUCUACCUGUGGAAUCAGAAGUAAAUUUUACAGCAUUUUUCUGAAGGUUCCUCUUGAAGAAGUCUUGUACAGGAGACUAAAGCUUCCACAGGAAGGAUCAUGAAUUUGUUACGUGGUAAUGCUUGCAAGCUAUGUUUCAGCAUUACAAAAUUGGCAUUUCAGAAUUGCAAAUGAAAGCAGUCCAGUUGAAAUAUCCAUUACAGAAUGUGGCAUAAUGUAUGGCUUCCAAAAUAAAGAAUAUGAUGUGGAAAAUAUCUUUAUAUAUUCAGGCAUCCUGCAUCACCAACAGGCAUCCAAAGUUGGUCCAGAGCAUUUAAUUCAAUACUGGGAAAGCAGCAGUUGGCAGUCUGAUUCUCCUUACCAUAUGAUGACUAUUUCCCUCAAAUCAAAAUCAAGCUGCCAGUUCUAGAGACUCUUCUCAAAGCAAAUAGCGUCAAUAAAAGAAGUGUGGAGAAGUGAUAUGAAUAGCAGGUGUGCCAGAUCAGCCACAUCAUCAUCUGUGGAAAUAUUCACAUUUGGACUUCAGGGGUGAAAUCCAGGACUCUUUGAAAUCAAUAUAUUUUCACAGAUAUUUUAACAGAGAUGAGAAUUUUCUGCUAAUCUUUCUUCUUUCAGCUACUUCUUCUCAGAAGAGUUACAUACAGACAGAUUUUUUAAGUGUGAACAUGCACUGGCAGAUCCUUAUUCUUUCUGUGCUCAGUUAUAAAUGUGGUAGGACAUUUAUGUUCAAAAAACUACCUACAGCCUAAUUGCAGAAGAAAGGAACACUGCAGGUCCUGCCUGAGAGGUUGAGCUGAACACAUUUUUUUUCUGGCUUACUGGUCUGGAAGAGAUUCAGAUAAGCUGAAAUCUUUUCAUGGCGCAAACUUUUGAAAGUAUAGAUCUUCCUUUCCAACUAACAUUAUGCAAGGACUGAAUCGUUGGCAUUCUGAGCAUUUGAGUUACUAGUUGCUAGUGCCACCUGCAACUUUGGCCAAAAGAUAAGAAGGUGUUUGCUUGUUUAUAUGAUAUCAGAAAAGGAUUUAAUGGGGAUAAGUUUAAUAUGCAGUAUUACACUUUUCAUUGUUUCUAAUUAAAUCACAAAUACAAUCUGCAUAUUUUGGUGAGAAUACAGUAUUUUCUAACAGAUUUUGGAUAAAAUGACCUAAAACAAUCACAGCAAUAUGAAGGCUAGUGGAGAAGUGGGUGGAGAAUCAACAUAAAAAAAUAAUUGUUUCAGUGACAUUUCUAAUGUCUGAUAUGGCAUUUCAUUUUCUCAUUUAGUGUGUAUAGAUCUUAGGAUUUUUAGUUAAAUGAAUCUAUAGUAGGUUGGCUGUUGAGCAUGGCUUGAUAUCUUUUCUAGAGGACAAAUACAGGGAAAAAAAUACCUGUGAAUGUUAUUCAGAGAUAUUUGAUCACAUUCUUAAGAAGCUGGCUGGAAUCUUAGAAAAACAUGUUUCCUCAAUGAUCUUCAUGAGUUAAGUUGCCCUGCAGAAGAACUUCUGCUAUUUCUGUUGGGGAUUGAGAGUGUCUUUAUUUCCUUGUCAGUUGGGAACUGUUUUACUGUAUAAUUAUAAUCAUAUGUUGGAGCACACAAAUAUAAAGCUUUGAAAUUAUUAUUGUGAGUUUUAGUCUAAGA
rnacentral:lncRNA from 7 species